AGUUAAGAGAGUAUCAGCAGAAGAACAGGUCUGGUGGUCCUGCAGGAGGAAAAAAGAAGAAAAACCUUAAAAACGGCAGUAGCCCUGAGACAACCACUUCUCGGGGUUGUCACUCAACUGAGGAUGCGAAGCUCCACCUUCACACUGAAAGCUAGGAGCAGCCUUCUCAUCUGGUGUCCCGACGCCCAGGGGGAGAUCCCCCUUCAGAUAUGAAGUGAGGUGCAGCCUUCUCAUCUGGUGAACUGAUGCCCAGGCGAAGCUCCACCUUCAGACUGAAAGCCAGGUGCAGGCUUCUCAUCUGGUGUCCAGACACCCAGGUGAAGCUGGACCUACUGAUGUGAAGCGAAGGGCAGGCUUCUCAUCUGGUGUUGUGACACCCAUGCGAAACUCCACCUUCAGACUGAAAGCAAGGUGCAAGCUUCUCAUCUGGUAUCCUAACAACCACGGGAAGCUCCACCUCCAGACGUGAUGUGAGCUGCCGGCUUCUCAUCUGGUGUCCUGACACCCAGGCGAAGCUCCACCUUCAGACUGAAAGCCAGGUGCAGGCUUCUCAUCUGGUGUCCUGACACCCAAGCGAAGCUCCACCUUCCAACAUGAUGUACGGUACAGGCUUCUCAUCUAGUGUCCUGAUACCCAUUCGAAGCUCCACCUUCAGAGUGAAAGCCAGGUGCAUGCUUCUCACCUGCUGUCCUUACACCCAGGCGAAGCUCCCCCUUGACUGAAAGCCAGGAGCAGACUUCUCAUCUGGUGUCCUGAUACCCAGGGGAAGCUCCACCUUCAGAAUGAAAGCGCGGUGCAGGCUUCUCCUCUGGUGUCCUGACACCCAGGCAAAGCACCACCUUCAGACUGAAGGCCAGGUGCAGGCUUCUCAUCUGGUGUCCUGACACCCAGGCGAUACUCCACCUGCAGACGUGAAGCGAGGUUCUGGCUUCUAAUCGGGUGUCCUGACGUCUAGGUGAAGCUCCACAUUCAGACUGCAAGCCAGAUUCAGGCUUCUCAUCUGGUGUCCUGAACCCAGGCGAAGCUCCACCUUCAGACUGAAAGCCAGAUUCAGGCUUCUCAUCUGGUGUCCUCACACCCAGCCGAAGCUCCACCUUCAGAAUGAAAGCGAGGUGCAGGCUUCUCCUCUGGUGUCCUGACACCCAGGCAAAGCUCCGCCUUCAGACUGAACGCCAGGUGCAGGCUUCUCAUCUGGUGUCCUGACACCCAGGCGAAGCUCCACCUUCAGACGUGAUGCGAGGUGCAGGCUUCUCAUCUGGUGUCCUGACACCCAGGCGAAGCUCCACCUUCAGACUGAAACCCAGGUUCAGACUUCUCAUCUUGUAUCCUGACACCCAGGCGAAGCUCCCCCUUCAGACUGCAAGCCAGGUGCAGGCUUCUAAUCUGGUGUCCUGAUGCCCAAGAGAAGCUCCACCUUCAGACUGAAAGCCAGGUGCACGCUACCCAUCUGGUGUCCUGACACCCUAGCAAAGCUGCACCUCCAGACUGAAAGCCAGGUGCAGGCUUCUCACCUGCUGUCCUGACACCCAGUCAAAGCUCCAUCUUCAGACUCAAAGCCUGGUGCAGGCUUCUCAUCUGGUGUCCUGACGCCCAGGCGAAGCUCCACCUUCAGACUGAAAGUGAGGUGCAGGCUUCUAAUCUGGUGUCCUGACACCCAGGUGAAGCUCGCCAGGUGCAGGCUUCUCAUCUGGUGUCCUGACACCCAGGUGAGCUCCACUUUCAGACUGAAAGCCAGGUGAAGACUUCUCAUCUGGUGUCCUGACACCCAGGCGAAUCUCAACCUCCAUACGUGAUUGAGGUUCAGGCUUCUAAUGUGUGGGGAGCAACUCGGACUAGACUGUUACUGGAAUUAAGACUUAUUCUAUGCAUCUGCUCUCCCACAAUAUGGCGCUGGGAGAGGAGUAAACAGCUUCUACCCAGCUGCCUCUCACCAACUUGACAAGCUGCAGGAGCUGCUCCUGAUUGGAGGAGAGCGGCGUGCUUGGUGUGUGGGCAGCCGAGUUGGGAUUGGCGGAGGAGGACUAUAUAGGAGGAGAGAGACGGCAUGGUGGUGUGGGUUGGUUGGAGAGUGCGUUGGAGAGUUCGCGGGGAAGUUCGUUACUUCGUUCUUUCUCAUUUCUCUCUACUCAUUCUUGCUUUGGGAGUUUGCUGUUUACUUAUUCUUACUUUACUAUAGAAAGGACUUGUAAAAAAAGGGAACAACAAGCGCCCGGUCCGGUGCGGCUCCUCCGCGUGUGGAGGAGCAGCAAAUGGUGCCGUGACUCAGAUAUGAAGCCUAGGCAGGGCUUAGUGUCGUUCCUCCAUGAAGAGGGGGAGCGACAUAAUGGUGCCGUGACUUGGAUAGGAAACCUAGGAAGGAUAGGAAACUUAGGAGGGAAGAAACGGGAAGAAGUGGGAAAAUACCGGGGAGAGAGACUAGCAAACAGCCUAGGGAAAAGCCAGACGAAAAAGGUGCCGGAAGAAGCUAUUGAAAGCCUAGGCAUAGACUCGGAUACGGACUACAGGGGGAAGCUGGGAGAAAUCUCUAAGGUCGAAAGCGAAAGUGAAAGCUAGAACAAACAGACUCAGAUGCGGACUGUGGGGAGAGGCCAGGAGAAAUGAGGGAGGAGUAUUGUUGGAGGAAAGCUUGGGGAAACAUACCGGGUAGAGAAAAAUGUUAGGGAAAUUGAAGCCGCGGGGGGCAGACCGAGGCGGAGACGAAAGCCACUUUGGGAUUCUCAAGUUAGCCCAGGAAUGGGGGGCGAAAACUUGAAACCAGAAGCGGAAACGUAAGGCAGAUUGGGAUCCGUCUGAUUAACCCGGGGAGCAAAGGACGGGAAGCCAAAUCGGGGGCGGAGACGUGAGCUGGGUUGAAUUCGCCAGGUUAGCCCGGGGAACUUAGAUUGAAUGCUAGUGGCGGAGACGUAAGCUACGCUGUGUGACUCGCGGAGGCUGCCGCACACAGACAGAGCGUGCGGGGCUCAAGUAGAUAGGGAACGCUGGGCUAGUGCGAAGCCGCGCAGAUGAGAGAGGCACGGGCUGAAGCGGCUCAGAGCCGGAAAGCCACCGAGAAGCAGCCUCGGGGCGGGCGCCGGGAAGCCGCGGGGAUAAGAGAAACAGAAGUUUAGAAGUAAAAUGAGAGCGGGAAGCCGCAGGGAUAAGAGAAACAGAAGUUUAGAAGUAAAAUGAGAGAAAUAGGAAUGCUGGAAGAUAGAAGUAAAAUGGGAGAAAUAGGAAUGCCCGGAGAUAGAGAAAUAGAGAAAUAGAAAGGCCUCCCCACAACAUGGCAAUGAGAGAGCUUGGAUUCGGUCUGCCUCAUUAGGGCGAUAAGCACAAGCAGGCAGCUCGACCAGAGUAUGCGCUGCAGGUCACCGAAGAUAGGCACGAAUCAACACCAAUAGGCCUCCCCACAAUAUGGCAAUGAGAAGGCUUGGAUUCGGUCUGCCUGAUUAGUAAGGCGGUAAGCACCAGCAGGCGGCUCGACCAGAGUAUGAGCCGCAGGUCACCGAACACAGGCACGCAUCAGCGCCUAAAAACCUCCUCACAACAUGGCGAAGAGAGGACCCGGAUUCGGUUUGCCUGAUUGAUAGGACUUGUAAGAACCUGUGGCAACUCUAGCAAGCAGAGCAGAGUGUGUGCCGUGGGACACUGAAGACAGGCGCGUAUCAACGCAAAAAUAAAAAGAAAGGGGGAUCUGUGGGGAGCAAUCCGGACUGGACUAAGCUGCUGGAAUUAAGACUUAUUCUAUGCAUCUGCUCUCCCACAAUAUGGCGCUGGGAGAGAAGAAAACAGCUUCUACACAGCUGCCUCCAGUUCAGCCAAUAAACUGUAGGACUUGCUCCUGAUUGGAGGAGGGCAGCGUACUCGGCGUGUGGGUAGCAGAGUUGGGAUUGGUGGAGGAGGACUAUAUAGGAGGAGAGAGAUGGCAUGCACCAGGAACAUCUAAGGGGAACAUCUAAGGGAACACCUGUGCAGCCCCCGAGAGAGCCGGCCGACGGUGUGCCGCUCCCCUGUGGAAGUGGGGAAUGUGGCCAGGGGGAACUGCCCUUCCACGGAGGUGGAAGGGAUGGUAGCCAACCCGGGAAGAACCAGCAGCAAACCCGGGGAGGGCCGAGCAGACGAAAGAACAGCGCAGGGUCCUGUGUCGUUCCUCCAUGAAGAGGGGGAGCAACAUAAUGGUGCCGUGACUCGGAUAUGAAGCCUAGGCAGGGCUUAGUGUCGUUCCUCCAUGAAGAGGGGGAGCGACAUAAUGUGGUGUCCUGACGCCCAGGUGAAGCUCCACCUGCAGGCUGAAAGCCAAGUUCAGGCUUCUCAUCUGGUGUCCUGACACACAGCCAAAGCUCCACCUUCAGAAUGAAAGCCAGGUGCAGGCUUCUCAUCAGGUGUCCUGACACCCAGGCGAAGUUCGACCUCCAGAUGUGAAGGAGGUUCAGGUUUCUAAUCUGGUUUCCUGACGCCCAGGUGAAGCUCCCCCUUCAGACUGAAAGAGAGAUGCAGUCUGCUCAUCUGGUUUCCAGACAAACUGGCGAAGCUCCACCUGAAUAGGUGAUGCGAGUUGCAGGCUUCUCAUCUGGUGUCCUGACGCCCAGGCGAAAGUCCCCCUUCAGACUGAAAGAGAGAUGCAGUCUGCUCAUCUGGUUUCCAGACAAACUGGCGAAGCUCCACCUGAAUAGGUGAUGCGAGUUGCAGGCUUCUCAUCUGGUGUCCUGACACCCAGGUGAAGCUCCACCUUCAGACUGAAAGCCAGAUGCAGGCUUCUCAUCUGCAAUACUGACACCCAGCUGAACUCCACAUUCAGACUGAAAGCGAGGUGCCGGCUUCUAAUCUGGUGUCCUGAUGCCCAAGAGAAGCUCAACAUUCAGACUAAAUUCCAAGUACAGGCUUCCCAUCUGGUGUCCUGACACCCAGGCUAAUCUCUACCUCCAGACGUGAAGGAGGUUCAGGCUUCUAACCUGGUGUCAUGACGCCCAAGUGAAGUUCCCCCUUCAGACUGAAAGUGCGGUUGAGGCUUCUCAUCUAUUAUCCUGAUUCCCAACAGAAACUUCCACUUCAGACUAAAAGCGAGGUGCAGGCUUCUCAUCUGGUGUCCUAUGGCCACGAGAAGCUCCACCUUCAGACUGAAAGCGAGGUGCAGGCUUCUCAUCUGGUGUCCUGACACCCAGCCGAAGCUCCACCUUCAGACUGAAAGCCAGGUGCAGGCUUCUCAUCUGGUGUCCUGACACCCUGGCGAAGCUCCACCUUCAGACUGAAAGCGAGGUGCAUGUUUCUCAUCUGGUGUCCUGAUACCCAGGCGAACCUCCACCUGCAGACUGAUAGCCUGGUACAGGCUUCUCCUCUGGUGUCCUGACACCCAGGCGAUGCUCCACCUUCAGACUGAAGGCCAGGUGCAGGCUUCUAUCUGGUGUCCUGAUGUCCAAGAUGAAUUCCACCUUCAGACUGAAAUCCAAGUGCAGGCUUCUCAUCUGAUGUCCUGACACCAGGGCAAAGUUCCACAUUCAGAUGUGAAGUCAGGUGCAGGCUGAAGCUCCACCUUCACCUGGUGUCCUGAGCCCACGCGUAGUUUCCCCUUCAGACUGAAGGCCAGGUGCAGGCUUCUCAUCGGGUUUCCUGACACCCAGGAGAAGCUCCACCUUCAGACUGAAAGCCAGGUGCUGGCUUCUUAUCUGGUGUCCCGACACCAAGGCGAAGCUCGAACUUCAGACUGAAAGCCUGGUGCAGGCUUCUCAUCUGGUGUCCUGACACCCAGGCAAAGCUUCACCUCCACAGGUGAGGUGAGGUUCAGGCUUCUCAUCUGGUGUCCUGGCACCCAGGCGAAGCUCUACCUUCAGACGUGAUGCAAGGUGCAGGUUUUCGUCUGGUGUCCUGACACCCAGGUGAAAUCAACCUUCAGACUGAAGGCCAGGUGCAGGCUUCUCAUCUAGUAUCCUGACACCCCCCGAAGCUCCACCUCAGACUGAAAGUCAGGUACAGGCUUCUCAUCUGGCGUCCAUACGCCCAGGCCAAGCACCCCUUUCAGACUGAAUGCUAGGAGCAGGCUUCCCAUCUGGUGUCCUGACACUCAGGCUAUGCUCCACCUUCAACUGAAGGCCAGGUGCUGGCUUCUUAUCUGGUGUCCCGACACCAAGGCGAAGCUCCAACUUCAGACUGAAAGCCAGGUGCAGGCUUCUCAUCUGGUGUCUUGACACCCAGGAGAAGCUCCAUCUGCAGACAUGCAGCAAGGUGCAUGUUUCUCAUCUGGUGUCCUGACACCCAGGCGAAGUUCUACCUUCAGACUGAAAGCCUGGUGCUGGCUUCUCAUCUGGUGUUGUGAUGCCCAUGUUAAGCUCCACCUCAAACUAAAGCCUGGUGCAGGCUCUUCAUCUGGUGUGACACCCAGGCGAAGCUCCACCUUUAGACUGAAAGCCUGGUGCAGGCUUCUCAUCUGGUGUCCUGACACCCAGGCGAAUCUCCCCCAUCAGACCAAAAGCCAGGUCCAGGCUUCUCAUCUGGUGUCCAGACACCAGGCCAAGCACCCCUUUCAGACUGAAAGCUAGGUGCAGGCUUCCCAUCUCAUGUCUUGACACUCAGGCAAAGCUCCACCUUCAGACUGAAAUCCAGGUGCAGGCUUCUCAUCUGGUGUCCUGACACCCAGGCGAAGCUCCACCUUCAACUGAAGGCCAGGUGCAGGCUUCUAUGCGGUGUCCUAAUACCAAGGAGAAGCUCCAGCUGCAGACUAAAAGCUAGGUGCUGGCUUCUCAUCUGGGGUCCUGUCACCCAGAUGAAGCUCCACCUUCAGACUGAAGGCCAGGUGCAGGCUUCUCAUCUGGUGUCUUGACACCCAGGCGAAGCUCCACCUUCAGACUGAAAUCCAGGUGCAGGCUUCUCAUCUGGUGUCUUGACACCCAGGCGAAGCUCCACCUUCAGACUGAAAUCCAGGUGCAGGCUUCUCAUCUGGUGUCCUGAUGCCCAAGAAGAAUUCCACCUUCAGACUGAAAUCCAAGUGCAGCAUUCUCAUCUGCUGUCCUGACACCAGGGCAAAGUUCCACAUCCAGAUAUGAAGUCAGGUGCAGGCCUCUAGCUGGUGUCCUGACACCCAGGCGAAGUUCUACCUUCAGACUAAAGGCCAGGUGCAGGCUUCUCAUCUGGUGUCCUGACACCCAGGCGAUGCUCCACCUUCAGACUGAAGGCCAGUUGCAGGCUUCUCAUCUGAUGUGAUACCCAAGAGAAGUUCCCCCUUCAGACUGAAAGUGAGUGCCAGGCUUCUCCUCUGGUGUCCUGACACUCAGGUGAGCUCCACCUUCAGACUGACAGCCUGGUGCAGGAUUCUCAUCUGGUGUCCUGACACCCAGGCGAUGCUGCAACUUCAGUCUUGAAGUGAGCUGCAGGCUUCCCAUCUGGUGUCCUGAUGCCCACACCAAGCUCCACCUUCAGACUGAAAUCCAGGUGCAGGCUUCUCAUCUGGUGUCCUGACGCCCAGGCGAAGCUCCACCUUGAGAAGUAGAAUUGUGACUUGGUUGUUCACAAAGUAAUCACAGUACAUAGAUUCUAUUUUUAUUUACUUAUUUAUGUAUUUGAAAAGCACAGUUAUAGAGAAGCCGAGAUGAGAGAGAGGGAGAGAGGGAGAGAGGGAGAGAGAAGUGUUCCAUUUGCUGGUCCACUCUCUAAAGGUAUAACUGCAGAGUCAGCACGCCUCUUUCUCAUCUGUAGGCUUUGCAGCCUGGACUCUAAGGAGGCAGCCGAUUGGGGUUUUCAGAGGCCAGGGCUGAAGGGUCCAGAGAGCAGGCAGCAACUCCCUGCCUCCACUCAGCUCCUCUGGCUGCUGUCACUUGUUCAGCCAUCUUGGCUGUGUGCGGCCGUCUGACCUGCUGACAUGAGGUGGUCUCUAGAGCCAGAUGCAUGGACCGAGAUUUAGGCCUGAGCCUGGGGAGAAGCUGGGUGGGGCUGGCCGAGGGAGGGGGUCCCGCUGCGGGAGAAGGAGGAGAGGCUUCUCCACAUCUCCAAGCACUAGAUCCCCGCAUUGUUCCCUAGCAGUUUUUCUGGCAAUGAGGCGCCAUGACCUCCAUGUGCCAAAUCAAAGAGCAGACAUCUUACCUGUGAUUUUCUGGCUUCUUUUGGUAGAGUAGGUAUUUCUGGAGCUGCGAGAUGGGGCUGAGAGGUAUGCCCAUGAGGCGGCUGUGGUUGAUUUUAUCUCCAGAAAGCAGGGAGGGGCUUCUUGGGCAACAUUUCUCCUUGGAAAGGCCUGAAUCAGAGAACUACAGCUGAUGGUUGAGGCAGAGAGGAGGGCAGGGAGAAAGGGUGGAGAGCAGGAGAGGGCAGUGGCAGAGAGCUACCUGGAGGGAUUCCUGUCACCACCAGCGGCCUCAGCCCAGCAGGGGCCUAGAGUCAGGGUCACUGUGUGGCAGAGACUGGCUUCCUGGAAGAACACUGCCAUGCUCCCUGAUGUUGGUUCCCGUUCCUUCUGCCUGCUGCGGCUGCCGGAGGUCAGAGCCCUUGCUGAGGUCCAGGGAGAACCAGGGCCUCGUGUCCAUGGAGGUCGUAGCCCCCUUCCUUUGAGCUUUGGCCACCUGAAAAGAUGCCACGUGUCCCCAAGCCUGGGCAAGCCAUUCCCACAACCCCUGUGGUUCCCAGCAUGUGUGACUGUCACUCUGACUGCUACGACAUCUUCCUACCUGUUCUGCGCCCUUGUGUCCAUGGCAGCGAGGCACCUCCUCUCCUGCACGGCCCCUAACCCCCUGCUCUGUUCCCUGACAGGUGCCCAAAGACCGCGCUGCUCCUGCACCACCCUCUGCUGAUGCCACCGUGUUACUUGGCUGUUUAGCGCCCCCUGGCGCUAGUCUAACUAGCAUGGCACCAACUCAGGUUUGCCUCCGUCCUUGUGCCUGCUACCCCUGUAUGCUUGCACCAUCUCCCUUCCCAGAGGACUGCGCCUGCUGUGCCUUCUCUUCUCCUUUCUUCCAGCAGCUUGGUUCCCAGUGCCAGGCACCCUUCCCAGAGGACUGUGCCUGCUGUGCCUUCUCUUCUCCUUUCUUCCGGCAGCUUGGUUCCCAAUAUCCAUGAUGCUGACCAUGGCCCUGUCCUCAUAGAUGAGACCAAGUGAGUGUCUUCCUGUGCGGGCAGCAGUCCCUAAGCCAUGGGAGUAAGGGCAGGCCACGGCCCAAGGACCUCUUUUGCAUCAAGCCCCUGCACCCCUGACCUCUGUGUGCCUGUCCCUAGGACAUUGUCCUCCACGGAGAGCCUGCGUCAACAUGCUCAGCAGCUCCAUGGUCUUGUCUCCGAGUCAAUGUCCUACAUCAAUGGAGAGGGCCUCACAUCUUCCUACAUGAAGGAUCUGGAGCUCUGCACACUGAGGGAGGAAAAGGAG